GGGGCCAUAGCUCAGCUGGGAGAGCGCAUGACUGGCAGUCAUGAGGUCAGGGGUUCGAUCCCCCUUGGCUCCA
rnacentral:tRNA from 1 species